rnacentral:rRNA from 1 species
GGGACACGUGGUAUCCUGUCUGAAUAUGGGGGGACCAUCCUCCAAGGCUAAAUACUCCUGACUGACCGAUAGUGAACCAGUACCGUGAGGGAAAGGCGAAAAGAACCCCGGCGAGGGGAGUGAAAAAGAACCUGAAACCGUGUACGUACAAGCAGUGGGAGCCUCUUAAUGGGGUGACUGCGUACCUUUUGUAUAAUGGGUCAGCGACUUAUAUUCUGUAGCAAGGUUAACCGAAUAGGGGAGCCGAAGGGAAACCGAGUCUUAACUGGGCGUUAAGUUGCAGGGUAUAGACCCGAAACCCGGUGAUCUAGCCAUGGGCAGGUUGAAGGUUGGGUAACACUAACUGGAGGACCGAACCGACUAAUGUUGAAAAAUUAGCGGAUGACUUGUGGCUGGGGGUGAAAGGCCAAUCAAACCGGGAGAUAGCUGGUUCUCCCCGAAAGCUAUUUAGGUAGCGCCUCGUGAAUUCAUCUCCGGGGGUAGAGCACUGUUUCGGCAAGGGGGUCAUCCCGACUUACCAACCCGAUGCAAACUGCGAAUACCGGAGAAUGUUAUCACGGGAGACACACGGCGGGUGCUAACGUCCGUCGUGAAGAGGGAAACAACCCAGACCGCCAGCUAAGGUCCCAAAGUCAUGGUUAAGUGGGAAACGAUGUGGGAAGGCCCAGACAGCCAGGAUGUUGGCUUAGAAGCAGCCAUCAUUUAAAGAAAGCGUAAUAGCUCACUGGUCGAGUCGGCCUGCGCGGAAGAUGUAACGGGGCUAAACCAUGCACCGAAGCUGCGGCAGCGACACUAUGUGUUGUUGGGUAGGGGAGCGUUCUGUAAGCCUGUGAAGGUGGCCUGUGAGGGUUGCUGGAGGUAUCAGAAGUGCGAAUGCUGACAUAAGUAACGAUAAAGCGGGUGAAAAGCCCGCUCGCCGGAAGACCAAGGGUUCCUGUCCAACGUUAAUCGGGGCAGGGUGAGUCGACCCCUAAGGCGAGGCCGAAAGGCGUAGUCGAUGGGAAACAGGUUAAUAUUCCUGUACUUGGUGUUACUGCGAAGGGGGGACGGAGAAGGCUAUGUUGGCCGGGCGACGGUUGUCCCGGUUUAAGCGUGUAGGCUGGUUUUCCAGGCAAAUCCGGAAAACCAAGGCUGAGGCGUGAUGACGAGGCACUACGGUGCUGAAGCGACAAAUGCCCUGCUUCCAGGAAAAGCCUCUAAGCAUCAGGUAACAUCAAAUCGUACCCCAAACCGACACAGGUGGUCAGGUAGAGAAUACCAAGGCGCUUGAGAGAACUCGGGUGAAGGAACUAGGCAAAAUGGUGCCGUAACUUCGGGAGAAGGCACGCUGAUAUGUAGGUGAAGCGACUUGCUC